rnacentral:rRNA from 1 species
GGGAAUAUUAGAAAUGGACGAAAGUCUGAUCUAGCAACACCGCGUGUGCGAAGAAGGCCUUCGGGUUGUAAAGCACUUUUUGGAAGGAUUAGGAAGGAAUGUACUUCCAGAAUAAGUCUCGGCUAACUACGUGCCAGCAGCCGCGGUAACACGUAGGAGGCAAACGUUAUCCGGAUUUACUGGGCGUAAAGCGCGUGUAGGUGGUUCUGUAAGUAGGGCGUGAAAGCUCCUGGCUCAACUGGGAGAGGCCGUUCUAAACUGCAGAGCUAGAGGAUGGUAGAGGGAGGUGGAACUCCGGGUGUAGCGGUGGAAUGCGCAGAUAUCCGGAGGAACACCAGUGGCGAAAGCGGCCUCCUGGACCAUUCCUGACACUCAGACGCGAAAGCGAGGGUAGCAAACGG